CGCGGCUCCCGGCGCGUCCCCCCCCCGGACGCUCCCGAGCGGAGGAAGAGAUGAACCUAUCUGGGGAUCUUCUGCAACGAAAAAAAAACAAACCAAAACCGAAGAAAAGCAUCGGGAGAUGAGGAGGAGGGCUCCGGUUCCGAAGGUCGGUGCUCUUUGCAGCUCUGCAGCUCUUCGUGUCGCCGUAGCACCGUCCUGUGCCCGGAGCCAUCGGUGCUGCUGCUCCCGCUCCCCCUAAGGAAGCAGAGGGGUAAUCAUUCCCCAUUUAAUGGAUGGGAAACUUGGCACAGCACAGAUUAAGUGAUUUGCUGACAGCGCAUAAGAAAAUUGCGCCAGCAAAGCAUUCUCUCAAUUAUGCCAUCCUCGUAACUGCAUAAUUUCCCUCCCUGAUUCCAGACACGGAACGUUCUCCCUGUGCAGGGCUGCAUUGCUGAAUGCAAAGAGUGCAGACGGCGUUAGCAGCACCCAUGCAUUGUGCUGGGAUGGUUUAAUCCAUACUGCAUCCCCUGCAGCCUCAGCGUGGUGGGCUACGCACAGAGCAGCGCCACGGACUGCAGCCGAGGUGGGCAGAGGUGCAGUGCUGCCACGUGCAGCUGAGACACGGGGGGGAGGAGGGGGGGACGGAGCGAAGCUUGGCUGCUUGGGAUACAACACACUCCCAUACAGCACACCCAGCUGCAGCCUGCUUUGCGCUGCAAUCCACGCAGGAGGAGCAGCAUGCAGAAAAUUCCCUGUGGGAUGGAGGCAGCCAGGAGUGGAGAGCUGAGCCCCCGGGUGCAGCCACAGCGCGGGUGUGCAGCGCUGAGCCCAGCCCUGCCCGCUGCCAUCCUGCCCUGUGUCAGGGCCACGCCACGUUCCAGGCUCCCCUGCCCUCAUUUGAAUUGGCCCGGCCUCGUAAUCUGCUGCUAAGUGGGACUGCCGAUGAGCGCCGAGAUAAAUUUAGAAAGAAAUCUUUGUAUGGGUCAGAGGAAAAACACCGCAGCCUCCGGAAUCCGAGCGGAGUGACUGCGCAGCUCCUGCGGGCUGGGAGGGACAGGGAGAGGGGCCGGGGGGGCUCCGAGUGCUGCAUGGACGGGGUCAGCCAAAGCUCCCACCCAGCAAACCCAUGCUGAUAAAGCCACGACGUGUUUAUGUGCCGCGAGGAGGGCAGUGGUGCAUCACUCCCCCUCCAGGACCACCGGCCACGCCACAGCACCGCUGUUCCCUUACAGUUCUGCUAAGCUGUUAAAUUGUUUUUAAACAAGAAAGAAAAUAAUGGUAUUAGUGGUGUAAA
ensembl:lncRNA